rfam:Actinomyces sp. oral taxon 180 str. F0310 genomic scaffold SCAFFOLD1, whole genome shotgun sequence.
CGUUCGUGCCACGGGAGCUCCGCGGGAGCUGAGAGGGGAUAGGCCCCGACCGUAGAACCUGAUCCGGGUCGUACCGGCGUAGGAAGGCUCUUUCCUCGUGGC